CGCCCGCCGCGCGCGGCGGGCGGGGCGGGGGCACGGGGGGCCUACGGGAGGCAGCAGUGGGGAAUAUUGCACAAUGGGCGGAAGCCUGAUGCAGCAACGCCGCGUGCGGGAUGACGGCCUUCGGGUUGUAAACCGCUUUCGCCUGUGACGAAGCGUGAGUGACGGUAAUGGGUAAAGAAGCACCGGCUAACUACGUGCCAGCAGCCGCGGUAAU
rnacentral:rRNA from 1 species